AACGAACGCUGGCGGCAGGCUUAACACAUGCAAGUCGAGCGCCCCGCAAGGGGAGCGGCAGAUGGGUGAGUAACGCGUUGGAAUCUACCCAUCUCUACGGUACAACGCAUGGAAACGUGUGCUAAUACCGUAUACGUCCUUCGGGAGAAAGAUUUAUCGGCGCUGGAUUAGCCCGCGUUGGAUUAGCUGGUUGGUGGGGUAAAGGCCUACCAAGGCGACGAUCCAUAGCUGGUCUGAGAGGAGGAUCAGCCACACGGGGACUGAGACACGGCCCAGACUCCUACGGGAGGCAGCAGUGGGGAAUAUUGGACAAUGGGCGCAAGCCUGAUCCAGCCAUGCCGCGUGAGUGAUGAAGGCCCUAGGGUUGUAAAGCUUUUUCACCGGUGAAGAUAAUGACGGUAACCGGAGAAGAAGCCCCGGCUAACUUCGUGCCAGCCGCCGCCGUAACAC
rnacentral:rRNA from 1 species